rnacentral:rRNA from 1 species
GGUGAACGCUGGCGGCGUGCUUAAGACAUGCAAGUCGAACGCAGUCUUCGGACUGAGUGGCGCACGGGUGAGUAACACGUAACUGACCUACCCCCAAGUCGCGAAUAACCAGCCGAAAGGAUGGCUAAUACGUGAUGUGAUGAUCCGCUGUGGCGGAUCAUUAAAGACUUGAUCGCUUGGGGAUGGGGUUGCGUUCCAUCAGCUAGUUGGUAAGGUAAAGGCUUACCAAGGCAACGACGGAUAGCCGGCCUGAGAGGGUGGCCGGCCACAGGGGCACUGAGACACGGGUCCCACUCCUACGGGGGGCAGAAGUUAGGAAUCUUGCACAAUGGGCGCAAGCCUGAUGGAGCGACGCCGCGUGAGGGAUGAAGGUUCUCGGAUCGUAAACCUCUGAACCAACGACGAAAGACCCGACAAGGGAGAUGACGGUAGUUGGGUAAUAGCACCGGCUAACUCCGUGCCAGCAGCCGCAGUAACAC